CAGCAUGUUAGCUUUGAGGUACACUUUGCUCAAAUUGCCACCAUAACCUUGCAUGAAUAGUUUCUGAAAUUUCACAUGCAUAGUGAGUUAUCUAACUUUAGUUUUCCUUCUUAAAUUCGUUAAAAAUGGACUAAAACGCUCUACCUCACUGAUGUGGCCACUGAUGAUCAGCGGGUAUGUGGCUAACACAACAGCUGUGAUUCUCCAAUUUAGGAUGAAUGCAAUGAUGAAUGAUGUAACUACCAAACCAACAUUUUGAAGGAGAAUGCUGGAGCGGUCAACUACAAUAGUUCUCAAGAGUGUUGCAUCGGUUGCCAGACGUGAUGUGAGCAUUGAGCUUGUGUUAUUUGCAUCAUCAAACCAUCCAAUCUCGUUAUGCAAGAUGGCUGCAAGAAAUAGUGUAUGGAGGUGACAGGUUAGGAUAGAGUUUUGGGCAUGCAAAACUAUGCUAGUUGAAGCCACAAAAUGUAUACCAGAAAACAUCUUUUCUCUGACACGGAAAGUAAGUCUCUCUCCCAUUAUCCCAAACGAUAGAUGUGCAAUUGCAUGAGCAAUGACUGUUAUUACUGCACCGCAGCAGAAGAAGAUUACUAUCCUUCUGAUCUCAUGCUGAGUCGUAUCCCAGUCCAUGUAGUAGGAUACAAGAGCAUGUGAUACACCAAGUGCAAAAAGUGGCAUCUGUGCUCCGGCAAUAAAGGCACCAAUGGUACCAGAGACUCCAUAAAUCCAGUCAGGGGCGAUCAUAGCAUAUAGUCUUCUUGCUGAAACAGUGACUGGCUUGGCUGGUUCUGUCCCGUCCAGAACAGCUCGAUUGACUGAGUCCUUAUCAGAACGGAAACUUGCUCCAAAGCUUGAUCUAGUCCGGGAUAAUUCCCGAGAAAACUUUGCACUGGCAAGAGAUCAGAUAAGAUCAAAGAAGGGCCGGUCAGGUGGGCAUCCAAAGACUCCUUUUGUUUUCACGAAGUAUCUAGAAAUCAUGUAAGUAUACCUGAGCUGAUCUUCGAUUGUAGGACCAAAGGGAGGGCGUUGUUGCUGUGAUGCAGCUUCUUGUAGAUGAACAAGUGAUGCGUAGGCACUGUCUGGGUUCAAGAUAAGAUCUUCAUGGCUGCCAAUUUCCACAAUCUUGCCUUCUUGAACAACAGCAAUUAUAUCAGCAUUCCUAACAGUGGAAAGCCGAUGUGCUACAACAACAGUAGUUCUCCCAACCAUGACUCGAUCGAGGGCCUCCUGAACGCUUCUUUCUGACUCAGCAUCUAGUGCACUUGUAGCUUCAUCUAGCAAAAGAAUUGAUGGGUUCUUCACUAUUGCACGAGAUAUUGCUAUCCUCUGCUUUUGUCCACCUGAUAAUUGUACUCCUCUCUCCCCAACCUGCAAAGGUUACAAUGUUACACCAGUAAGCUGAAACACUACUACAUAGACAACUGCAGAUUCUUUUUUAAUAAGGAUUUACUUCCAAAAAUAUAUAUGUAAGUACCUGAGUUUCGAAUCUGUCAGGCAGGUUGUUGAUAAAUGACAAUGCUUCUGAGAGCUUAGCUGCAUGGGUGAUCUCUUGAGUUGUGGCAUCAUCUUUCCCAUAGAGGAUAUUCUUCCUAAUGCUGGUCGCAAACAGGGCAGGCUCCUGAUUAACCAGGCCAAUCUGCUCUCUCAGCCACUUCAAAUCGAAGUCCUUGAUGUUAAGCCCAUCUAUAAGUAUCUGCCCUGAUUGUGGCUCAUAAAAGCGUUCAAUCAGGGAUAUGAUUGUGCUCUUUCCAGAGCCACUUCCUCCAACAAGAGCCACAAUCUUCCCAGAAGGUAUGUCUAGGCGAAGCUUGUUGAAUAUAGUUACAUCAGGGCGAGAAGGGUAUCUAAAAGUAACGUCCUUGAAUUGGAUGUGACCCUCCAGUUUGGUUAACUUUUUCCCAGUUUUUGAGCUGGUUUUACUCACUGUGCUCCUCUCUAUCAUCUUGAAAAUAGGACCUGCUGCUGCUUUGGCCCUUACGAAUGCAGUGAUAUCCGGAGCUGCCUGUCCCAGUGCCCUUUUGAAUACCACAGACAGAAGAAUGAGUCAGAUAGUUGUCAACUAGUCACUACUCCAAUAUUUUAAACACACAUGAAGAACUACUUACAGGCCUGAAAUGACCACAUUAAGCAUAGUGGUGAAGGACUCGCCUCCAUUGGAGAUGUUCUUGUGAACAACAAUGCUGACGAACCAAACUAGCAACGACCAGGAAAAGAAGAGAACACAAUGGACACUCCCAAGUCCAAGACCUUUCGCUAAUCCCGCUUUCCUCCCAUACUCGUAAGUUUUGCUUAACGCGUCUCGGUAGGAUCUUACUGCCCUUUCCUCUCCUGCAAAUGCUUGCACUGUCCUCACAUUGCCAAUCACCUAUAGAAAACACAUCAGCAUUUGGUUUCAUUUUUUGUAGUUUGGGAGAUGAGGUUGAAGGCUAUAUUACCUCUUCCGCUAUUUCGCCAGCUUUCACAUAGGAUUUACGGAUUCUGGCAAGAAGACCGAUGGUGACAUAUGCAUAGAUACCUCCAGCAAGUGCAAUGAAAGGAACUAUGGAAAGUGUCACCAAGCUGAUUUGCCACACCUUGGCAAACCCAAUGAUGAACCCAGAUAAGAAUCUACUAAAAUAGUGCAAGAAGUUCCCUGCCUGCACCACAAGUAAGAACUUUUUUACAACUUUGCUGAGUCAAUUCGAAUAUUCUUAUCUCUCCUAAGCAAACCAAAAUGUGGACAAAAGGUUAUAGAUAGCUGACAUAAGGAUUCCAACCCUAAUUUAGGUCCCCAAUUGUUCGGUUUACCAAAGACUGGUAUGGACUCAUUUCUGUUUCGGUUUCGGUUUAAUCAGAAAAUAGAAAUCACAUUUGUAUCCCUAACCUCUAGGCUCUAAGCCUCUAACUAGCAACCGUCUCAUAAAUUCCUCCACCUCCUCUUUCUCUAUUUCUUUCUUUCUUUCCCUUUCCUCUCUUAAAUGUCAUAUGCCUUUUCCUCGCUGUUGCACCUCCCUUUGUCUUUUUGCCAUCUUCUCAUUUAUUAAUCACCCAACCCAACUACCUCCUAAAUAAUUAAGAAAAACCCAUUAAAUAGAAAUAAAAAUGUUCCCUUUUUCAUAAAGAAACUUAAAUAUUAGAUAUUGAUGUCAGAUGUGGAAAAUAAUAGUGCAGAAAAGAAUAAAGACAUGGAAAAUUUGACUGUUACCAGCCAGUAUGGCUCAUAAAUGGAAAUUCAUCUAUUACAAUUAAAAAAAACCUGUAUUGCAAUGACUUGGAUUAGUGAGAGCCAUAUCUAACCCUAAAUCUAGGAUUUUUGGUUUAUUUAUGAGUUAAUCAUGUAGAUUUUGUGCAGUACAUGAUUUUUGGUUAAUUUAUGAGUUAAUCAUGUAGAUUUUGUGCAGUACAAUUACUUUCUUCAACGUCAGUAAUUUCGGAUCAUUGAUCAAAAUAAUAUCAUUUCGUAGAAUUCCACAAGUAUUUUGAAUGAUCAAAUGUCAAGAGUUAAUGAAUCCUUAUGUUUCUAAGUGAUGUUUGACUCUAAAGUUAGAUCGAUCACAGGAGUCAGCUGGAUUUUUUUUUAAGUUCAACCUUCUUGUAAAAAAUANNNNNNNNNNNNNNNNNNNNNNNNNNNNNNNNNNNNNNNNNNNNNNNNNNNNNNNNNNNNNNNNNNNNNNNNNNNNNNNNNNNNNNNNNNNNNNNNNNNNNNNNNNNNNNNNNNNNNNNNNNNNNNNNNNNNNNNNNNNNNNNNNNNNNNNNNNNNNNNNNNNNNNNNNNNNNNNNNNNNNNNNNNNAUUCAAGACAUGAUUUUUUAUGAUGGGUUUUCAUUCAAAUGUACAGAGGUUUUACUUACCUUGGCAACUUUGUGUGAAGCUUCCUUAGGGAAGAGAUAAGCAAGGCCAAUGAUGUUGAUCAACUUGCCGAAGAAGAUGAAGAAGACAGGAACUGAGGCACCAUGGACAGAAGCUCCAAUAGAGCCAAAUGCCAUGAGGACAUAGUCAUAGAAAUCAGCAAAUGAAAACAACUUCAGCAAUGGAACUUUGUAAGUCUCAUUGUUAUUUUCUUGCUUGUUAUCAUCAUCUUCCUUAUUGUUGGUGGUGGGAAGUGUCACUGUGCUUGAACUCAUUCUUCGUUUUCCUAUCUCUUCCAUUUUAAGCUCAAUCAAGCUAGAACCAAAACUUGAGCUUAAGGAGAAGGGUAUAAUCAAUAACUAGUUGUUGAAGAAGAAGAAUGGAUAUGAGGGAAAGAGAGAGAUGAAGAAAAGAGGUAUGGAGUAGAGGAAGGGAUAUUGUUAGGAAGGAAUAUUGUUGGGAAGAGGGAGAAGUUGGGGGAAUGGAGUUAUGAUGAAUUACGAGUGGCAGAUGGCUGCAUUUACUCCACCACUGCCAUCAUCCAGUUCAGUUUUUCCCCUCUCUUUUGAAAAAUUUGUUACUGCCAUGCUUAUGAAAUCCUGCCAGAUGUUUUCAUCUGUGAGAUUUGCUGUUAACAUUUAUGCUAUCUGUGAGAUUGGGUUUUUUUUGUACAUUUAUCUACAAGGAUGGCUAAAACUAGGAAAGUCGGUAACUUUGUAGUCUGGAUUUCGCCCAGGUCGAGUCCAUUUACGAUACAACAACGCUUUGUUAUUCGUUUGCUUAGCUUCUUCCGAGUCGUGUCCUAGAUAAAUUUCAUACGAGUUCAUGAAUUACUCUCAUUUAUCUUGAUGUGAGUACUCUUUCAAUCUAUAUCAAUAGAACUGAAUCAUAUCAAUGUAAUCUUCGAUAUGCCUAUAUGUCAAAUAUAAUGUUCAUUACAUUGGGUA
rnacentral:lncRNA from 1 species